rnacentral:lncRNA from 1 species
CUUCUCCGACCUCCGGGAAUCUCUUCUCCACUUCUCCCUCCGUUGCUACUUGUUGGAUUCUCUGGUAUUUAUUUGUUGAAUUGUUGAUCUUGUUUGUUGUUUCUACUGUUCUACAUAUUAUUUGGGUCUGAUUGUGAUAGUCAUCAUCAUACAUUCACUUUGUUUUAUAUUCCCCAUGACAUGGCCUCACUGCACAAAACCUGUGUUGUUGUUGGACCUUAUCUGCCAAACCAUGGCCAAACAUGGUGUAGAUUUAUGAGAUAUCUGCUGGAAAAAAAUUAUAUCAGAGUUACUUGGCUUAUUUACACAUCCAGUUAAAAAACAGAAUUGAAGAAAAGAAACGAUAACAUAUUGGUAGUGAUUAAAAUUGGUUCAAUGGUCUACUACUAAUGUCUAAUAGUGAUCAUUUGGUUGAUAAAAUUCAAAUUUCACAUCAACAUUACCAGACUUUUCCCCAGUAUCAUUGUAAGUGAUGUUUGUUAUUCCCCUGUACAUAGGAGUACAACCUGUACUCCUCUUCGUAAUUCCGAUAUUCUGGUUUUACUUGUUUGACAGGAACUAUCACAGAGUAAAUAGUUCCAAGAUCCAUAUCCUUAUACUGAAAGAUCUCAAUCAUGAUUUAUUUGCCGUAUUGAUUGAUGAAUCUAGAGAUAUAUCAAUUAAAGAACAAAUGGUUGUGGUUAUUCGAUAUGUGGACAAGAAGGGAUGUGUAAUGGAGCGUUAUUUAGCAGUUGUUCAUGUGCCAGAAACUAAUGCGUUGACUCUAAAAAAGGCUCUUGAUGCUUUAUUCUGCAAACAUAAUUUAAGUAUUACCAAUUUACGAGGUCAAGGAUAUGACGGCGCGAGUAAUAUGUCUGGAGAUAUAAAUGGUUUAAAAUCAUUGAUUCUUAAAGAAAAUAAUUCUUCUUUUUAUAUUCAUUGUUUUGCACAUCAAUUACAGUUGACAAUUGUUGCUGCUGCUAAAAGUGAUAAGAAGAUUGUGACUUUUUUUAAUACAGUUGCAAAUAUAACUAAUAUUGUUGUAGUAUCUUGCAAGCGUCGAAAUGUCCUUCGAGAAAAAUAAGUUGAUAGUAUUGCAAAAGCAUUGGAUAUGGAAGAGUUAAAUACUGGACAAGGAAAAAAAUCAAGAAACAACUUUGAAGCGAGCUGGAGAUACGAGAUGGGGUUCUCAUUAUAGUACAAUAUGCAGUUUAAUUCUUAUGUUUUCAUCAGUGAUGAAGGUUCUAGAAGUUGUUUCUGAUGAUGUCAAACUUGUAGAACAAAGUGCUUCUGCAGAAAUAUUGUUAGAUGCCAUGAAACAAUUUGAUUUCAUUUUCUAUUUAAAUUUAAUGGAAGCAAUUCUUGCAAUUACAGAUGAUUUGUCUCAAGCAUUGCAAAGAAAAGAUCAAGACAUAAAUAAUGCAAUGCGAUUAGUAACAGUUUCGAAGCAAAGACUUGCGAGAUAAUGGAUGGGAAGAUUUACUUUCAAAUAUUUGUUCUUUAUGUGCAAAAAAUGAUAUAACAGUGCUAUCAAUUCAAUGGAUGAAAUAUAUGUACCUUAUGGCCGAAAAGGAAGAAACAUAGAAAAAAUUACAAGUCUUCACUAUUACAAGAUUGAUCGUUUCUUCUAUAUGAUCGAUAUACAAAUUCAUGAACUUAAUAAUCGAUUUACUGAGACUAACACAGAGU